rnacentral:rRNA from 1 species
AGUGAACGCUGGCGGUAGGCCUAACACAUGCAAGUCGAACGGCAGCACAGUAAGAGCUUGCUCUUACGGGUGGCGAGUGGCGGACGGGUGAGGAAUACAUCGGAAUCUACUUUUUCGUGGGGGAUAGCGUAGGGAAACUUACGCUAAUACCGCAUACGACCUACGGGUGAAAGCAGGGGAUCUUCGGACCUUGCGCGAUUGAAUGAGCCGAUGUCGGAUUAGCUGGUUGGCGGGGUAAAGGCCCACCAAGGCGACGAUCCGUAGCUGGUCUGAGAGGAUGAUCAGCCACACUGGAACUGAGACACGGUCCAGACUCCUACGGGAGGCAGCAGUGGGGAAUAUUGGACAAUGGGCGCAAGCCUGAUCCAGCCAUACCGCGUGGGUGAAGAAGGCCUUCGGGUUGUAAAGCCCUUUUGUUGGGAAAGAAAAGCAGCAGGUUAAUACCCCGCUGUUCUGACGGUACCCAAAGAAUAAGCACCGGCUAACUUCGUG